GCUUAGUAGCUGAGCAGGUUUGAAUGGUACUUGUGUGCUGUGCUCUCUGUCAUGCCGCUGGAUGCUGUGGAGGGUGCUCAGGCAAGCCCCGAAGUUGUGACAUGGAUGCCUUGACCUAUGAUGAUGUGCAUGUGAACUUUACUCAAGAAGAAUGGGCUUUGCUGAAUCCUACACAGAGGAAUCUCUACAAAGAUGUGAUGUUGGAGAUCUACAGGAACCUCAAAGCUGUAGGCUACAAUUGGGAAGACCAAAACACUGAAGAACAUUGUCAAAGUUCCAGAAGACAUGGAAGGUAAUUUUCAUGAGCAAAUUGGUAUGAAUUUGCCUCCGAAGAAAUGUUAAUGUGGCCUGGAACCUUUUUUAAAUUUUUUUUAUUUUUUGGUGGCCUGGAACUUUUCAUGAAAAACAACAGUGU
rnacentral:sRNA from 1 species